rnacentral:rRNA from 1 species
AUUUUAAUUAAAGGUCAGGCCUGCCCAGUGAUUAUUUAAAUGGCCGCAGUAAUUUGACUGUGCGAAGGUAGCAUAAUCAUUAGUUUUUUAAUUGAAAGCUUGUAUGAAUGGUUUAACGAGAAGAAUGCUGUCUUUAUUUAAAAGUUAGAAUUUUAUUUUUGAGUGAAAAAGCUUAAAUUUUUUUAAAAGACGAGAAGACCCUAUAAAGCUUUAUAUUUAGAUUUAUAUUAGUUUUUAGGUUUUAUUUAUUGUUUAUAUAUUUUUAAAUAUUUAAUUGGGGAAAUUAAAAGAUUAAAUUAAUUCUUUUUUUUUGUUUUCAUUAAUUAAUGAAUUAUUGAUCCAGUUUUUCUGAUUAUAAGAUUAAGUUACUUUAGGGAUAACAGCGUAAUUUCUUUAGAGAGUUCUUAUUAAUAAAGAAGUUUGCGACCUCGAUGUUGGAUUAAAAUAAUUGUUAGGUGCAGAAGCUUAAUAAAUUGGUCUGUUCGACCAUUAAAUUUUUACGU